UGAUGGGUCCUGAUCCUCCGAUCGUUUGCCCGGCUGCUACGCUUGCCAUCCACCUCCACCUUCGUCUCGCUGUCCUAGAUGUUUGCUGUAUGAAUCGCAUAGUAGAUCAUGUUCUCUAUUCCUGCCUUCAGUUUCUUUUCUCAGUUGUGGUUUAUCGCGGCGGGGUUGAUGUUGAGAUUUGAGAUCCUCACCUGAGGAAUGGAAAAAUGCUCACCUGAGGAAUGGAAAAAUGGUAAGGGCUUGUUCGGUUAUUCCUAUCCCAUGUGGAUUGGAUGGGAUUGGAAAAAAUUAUGAAAGAUUUUAACUUGUUUGAGAUUGAAAUCCAUCCAAUCCCACCUAAUCCACAUGAAUUAAGAGCAAAACGAAUAUGCCCUAAAUUGAUUAAUUCGGUUGCUACUCCUUCGUCUUGGCAAGUUUAGGAUGUAUCAAUUUGUGCGAAUAGUUGAUGUUACCAAAGGUUCCACGCUAGGGAGACACCAGGGGAGAGCUUCGCGCGUGGAAGCCAUUUCUCUACAGU
rnacentral:lncRNA from 1 species